rnacentral:rRNA from 1 species
AGUUACCAGCACGUUAUGGUGGGACACUCUAAGGAGGACUGCCGGUGACAACCGGAGGAAGGUGGGGAUGACGUCAAGUCAUCAUGGCCCUUACGGCCUGGGCUACACACGUGCUACAAUGGUCGGUACAAAGGGUUGCCAAGCCGCGAGGCGGAGCUAAUCCCAUAAAACCGAUCGUAGUCCGGAUCGCAGUCUGCAACUCGACUGCGUGAAGUCGGAAUCGCUAGUAAUCGUGAAUCAGAAUGUCACGGUGAAUACGUUCCCGGGCCUU